rnacentral:rRNA from 1 species
AAUUCGAUUGAGUUUGAUCAUGGCUCAGAGCGAACGCUGGCGGCAGGCCUAAUACAUGCAAGUCGAACGGACCCUUCGGGGUUAGUGGCGGACGGGUGAGUAACACGUGGGAACGUGCCCUUUGGUUCGGAACAACUCAGGGAAACUUGAGCUAAUACCGGAUGUGCCCUUCGGGGGAAAGAUUUAUCGCCAUUGGAGCGGCCCGCGUCUGAUUAGCUAGUUGGUGGGGUAAAGGCCUACCAAGGCGACGAUCAGUAGCUGGUCUGAGAGGAUGAUCAGCCACACUGGGACUGAGACACGGCCCAGACUCCUACGGGAGGCAGCAGUAGGGAAUCUUGCGCAAUGGGCGAAAGCCUGACGCAGCCAUGCCGCGUGAAUGAUGAAGGUCUUAGGAUUGUAAAAUUCUUUCAGCGGGGACGAUAAUGACGGUACCCGCAGAAGAAGCCCCGGCUAACUUCGUGCCAGCAGCCGCGGUAAUACGAAGGGGGCUAGCGUUGCUCGGAAUUACUGGGCGUAAAGGGCGCGUAGACGGAUGUUUAAGUCAGAGGUGAAAGCCCAGGGCUCAACCUUGGAACUGCCUUUGAUACUGGACAUCUUGAGUACGGGAGAGAUGAGUGGAACUCCGAGUGUAGAGGUGAAAUUCGUAGAUAUUCGGAAGAACACCAGUGGCGAAGGCGACUCACUGGCCCGUUACUGACGCUGAGGCGCGAAAGCGUGGGGGAGCAAACAGGAUUAGAUACCCUGGUAGUCCACGCUG